ACAGCAGCAGCCACGGUAACACGUAGGGCGCAAGCGUUAUCCGGAAUUAUUGGGCGUAAAGAGCUCGUAGGCGGUUUGUCGCGUCUGCCGUGAAAGUCCGGGGCUCAACCCCGGAUCUGCGGUGGGUACGGGCAGACUAGAGUGAUGUAGGGGAGACUGGAAUUCCUGGUGUAGCGGUGAAAUGCGCAGAUAUCAGGAGGAACACCGAUGGCGAAGGCAGGUCUCUGGGCAUUAACUGACGCUGAGGAGCGAAAGCAUGGGGAGCGAACAGGAUUAGAUACCCCCGUAGUCCCUGUCUCUUAUAC
rnacentral:rRNA from 1 species